rnacentral:lncRNA from 1 species
CUUAAUUGCACUUCCACAGAUUUCUUGAAUACACGCACGUUGCAUAUUUCUAGUACUUACCAUUUCAAGUCCUCAGAUGAAUCAGAUUUGGGAAGAUUUUAUCAGAGUGACACACAGACACAUCCGCCAUGGAAAACGCUCAACUACGAAUUUCAGGCGAGAGUGACGUCACAGUGUUUGCCUCACGCUGGCCAAUCAGGGAAGAGAUGCUAUUCGAGCGACGAUGGUCAAUCUCUUUUUAAAAAUUUACAUUGCCAGUAUACAUUCUCUGCAAACGUUUUGCACAAUAUUGAUAAUCCUUAAGAUAAUACUGUCAUUUUUACAAUCUAAAAUUUUAUAUAGAAGAGCGAGAAGAGUACAUUACAAUUUAAUUUUUGGAACAUGUCACCCUUCCCUGGUAAACAGGUAUCAGCUGAUUGUGUUAGCUCAUCUCUAUAUAUCUAUUGUCGGUGGAAAGGAAUAUAUGGAGCAGACCAGUUGCUGAGAAUGCCAGCAUUCCGUUUCUUCCUUGCCACUAAACAUCCACAACAGUUUUAUAACUUGUAUUUAAUUUAUGAUUCAAUUGUCACGAACAGCGUAAAAAAAAAAAAGAAAUUAAUUUAAUUUCCAUUUCUGGGAAAGGCAUUAUGAUUGAAUUAUUAGGAAUGAUAUUAUUUAAUUUAUGACUGAAUUGUCACAAACAGCGUAAAAAAAAAAUAUAUAUAUAUAUAUGAAUUUAAUUUCCAUUUCUGGGAAAGGUAUUAUGAUGGAAUUAUUAGGAAUGAUAUUGGUGUCAAAAGAAGUACUGGUUAUUCUGAGAUUAGGAAGUGUUCAUAGUGCCUUGUAGGUUAAUGUUUGGGAAGGGGCAGAAAUGUAUUACAAGCCUUGGGUGAUAAUCAUGGGUUUUCUUAUUUCCAAGUAGAAUUGGUUAGUCAUUUGUGCAAUGAACAUAUUUGAGUAAUAGAUAAUCAUCCUAGGUCCUUUCACACUUUGUCUCUUUAGUCAUUUCUAAAAAGCCCUUUUGGGAUGGGUCACAUCUUAAUUAAAUUGUAUUCAGCCACAGAUUUAUGGUAUUAUGUAUGAGGCUAUUUAUAGUAUAAUUGCACCGUGAUACUAAUUAGCACUUGCUAUAAUGCACAUGUACACAGCUGAAGGAACAGACAGCUUGUAUAUUCAACAAAGUGUACAAAACUGAUCUCAGGUCAUGGAAUAUACCCAUUCUAGGGCUAGAUUCACUAGCAUAACAGUUACCAAUGCUUUUACCAGCAAUGUUAGCGCCGAUAGUAGCUCUGGUAAAUUGGUUCAGCUAAUCAGCAAGCAUCUUACGUGAUUCUUUAAGCUCCUUUGUCCAAUCCCAUAAUAGGUAAACAAAAUCUGACAGUAGCAAAAUUUUCAUGAUAUGAGAAAAAAGAGGAUAAAAAUUUCAAUUUAAAUUCAUUUUUUAGAAAGCAUGGUCAAUAUUAGGAUGUGGCAGAUUCUUCUUUCUUUCUUUCUUUUUUUUUCAGUCAGAAGAUAAGAAACAAUGGUUCCAUGCAAUGGAGGGGCUAUUUGGAUGAAAAUGUAUUGAAAAUUAUAUGCCAAUUAAACCUUUGAAGGGACAAAAUUAUAGAUAAUUUUGUAUAAAUAUAUGGAAAAAACUGUGUGAUGCACUUUGUACUUUCUUUCAUGUAAGUAUAAUAUAUUUAUUGUAGAUUUUAUUAAAAUAAAUUAGUAAAAGUGAA